AUGGUCAAUUUAAUAAAUAGGAGGGCAGGACACGUGGGGCCUGUGACGGGAGGGACAGAACAGCUGGGAGGGACCAAGCCGAGGACACAGAGAAAUAAAAACGCGCCGCAGAGGUACCCCGUCCCCACCACCCAGCCCCGGGGGUCGCCGUGCGUGCCGCGGGGGGUCUUCGCCGCGGCGCUGCGUCUGCUGCCGGGUCUCGCCAGCAGGGCGUUGAGGCAGUUGUGCGCGUCGGGGUCGUUCUUGCCGUGGCGGUUGUUGACGCUGGCGUCGGCGAACGCCGCCUCGUUCACGAACGCGGAGCCGUUGCCGGCGAGGCCUCGGGGCCGACUCGCCGCCGGGUCCUGGAGGGGAGAGAGAGAGAGAGAGCACAUCGUCACGGCGACGCUCAGGAGGCUGAGAAUCAACAGAGGCUCAUGUUAGCGCGUGAUUGAUGGACGCCGCUUUCACACCGUUCAAAAAUGCCGCUCUAAAAGGGGUCGAUGCAUCAGGACAUUAGAACGUAAUGAACGUUUCUGCUAAUAGACCUUCAGAUCAUUGGGAAUCAGGGCAGCUCACUGACAAUCUACUAAUUACUUUGUUUUAGUUUGUAUUACAGUCAGGUAGUAGUACUCGGAGAAGUAGGUAUUAAGCACUGACCCACUGAAGUACUGUGAAAGGCGUCACUGCUCCCUCAUCCUCUCCUCCCCUAGUAGCCCCUCCCCCCGUCCCCCCCGUCCCAUCUUCACAUCAACCCGGCCUAAUUAGAAACGACCCGAGAGCGGGUGUGAGGGUGUGAGUGCGUCAUCCGAUCCGUCUCUGACCCGGUGAACCGCCGCCUCUGGCUAAAACAUUAGUGAGGUGGGGGGGGCAUUAGGGCUCCCGCACGCCUUCGCCAGCCCGCUGCCGUUAAUGCAGCAGGGGGGGGGGAUGAGCCCCCGGUGGUGUGUGAACUAAUGAGGGAGAGAAGGAACAUUGCAGCCAGUCUUGCUGUUAACAUUGCUGCUCACUUGUCGGCCCAUUCAAGGCUCUGUGUGUGUGUGUGUGUGUGUGUGUGUGUGUGUGUGUGUGUGUGUCUUUUCAACGGUCACACCUGCUGAACCCGGCAGCACAAAGCAGCCCGGCGGGGGCUCCACUUGGAUGUAUGAGCUAUAUUAGUUCCCCCGCCGCCGCCGCCGCUCGUCCUUGUGAGGUGCGGUGAGACUUAAAGGGCAGAGAGAACAGUGCUCCCUUUAUCCUCCUCGCGGCUCCGGGGGGGGGGGGGGGGGGGGACACACUUCACCCGAGUGCUUUUCCAACAGAGUGUCGAUAAUUGAAGUCCCUCCCAACGCAACGGAUUGCUUUCUUGAGCCGCGUGCCUCUGGUUUUAAUUAUUUUGUCGGAGGCUUUUUAUUUGCAAUGGUUUAAUUAUCAUCAAUCAUUAGGAUGUUUAUCGGCGAGCGGCGCUGCUGGAGCACCGAGACAAACGACGCCUGCGAUUGCGCUCGUUAUCGCAGGUCGUCCAUCAACAGCGGGUUGGGUUCGCCGCGUGCCAGCGAGUGAACCGCCUGAGAAGAAGCUUCUCAUUACUGACCUCCGGCCCAGAAAUACAGCGCGCAUACCUGACGCCCAUCUAGAGGGAUGACCAUGUGAGGAAUCACGUUGGGCAGACUCCUCUGCCGGCAGCGCCGCCACGCCUGGAGCAGCUCCCGCUGGUUCUCCAGGCGCUCGCGCUCCCUCUCCACGUUCCUCUGGCCCUCCCGGAGCCGCUCCAGGCUCUGCUGGUACUCCUCCAGCUGCUCGUCCAGCUCCUGGCGCUCUCGCCUCAGCCUCUCCGUCUCCAGGUGGCACUGCCGCUCCCGCUCCUCCAGCCUGCUCUCCUGCUCCCCCUGCUGGCUCUCCCGGGCCUGGCACUCGCGCUCCCAGCGCUCCUUCUCCUGGCGGAGUCGGCCCUUGAGCCGCUGCGCCGCCGCCACCUCCUCCUUGCGCUUCUCCAGGUUGCGCUGCUUCUCCUGCUCCUGCAGGGUGUUGCCCCGCAUGCUGGGGAGGUGCGGCCGGUGGGCGCGGGGGGAUGGGCGGCCGCUCUCUCGGAGGAGGAGCCUCUGGACCUCGCAGCAGCUGUCCUGGAUGGCGACGGUGGCCUGCAACCCGGAAAAAAACCCUGAUGUGAAUGCUUGAUGAAAAUGCAAAAAAAAACACCACCACAACAGGGAAUACGAAGGCGCGAUUAGAUUGGCCACACCCCCCCCCAGCCCACCCACAGGUCAAAACCCCCCCCCCCCCCCCUCCGCGGGUAAAACCGCGGUUUCCAGGCUCAUAACACAAGAAUGCAUUCGGAACUUUGAAUACGAAAAUAUCAUUGAAAUAAAAACCUCACCAAAUGCACAUAGACGGACGAGAGAGCCCCCACACAUCCCCUCAUGCAAAUACACACACACGACGUGCAUGCACAACUUUGCAUUUUAUACUUAACAGCAGUGUGUGUGUGUGUGUGUGUGUGUUUGUGCGAUGAAACAAAGGACUCGUGUACAUCUUCCAGCAGAACAAAGAUCAGCAGGAUUCUGGUUCCUGCAGCUCGCUCCCUGCAGAGCGCUGGUUCCCCGUUUGCCGGAGCCACAUUAAAGCCGUUAUCUCCACAACAAAGCGCCCAGUAUGCAAGAGGUGCGUUUGUUUAAUACGUGUGAGGGCUGCGGGCGGGAUGAGAAGUAGCAGGUGGUGAGCCGUGUAUUGAAUAAUGCACUUACCUGCAGACUGUAGAGUAACCGGGUCAGGCUUUGGACACUUUGAGCAACCUGUUAACAGACAAAACCACAACACGGCGAGCGGAUUAAUGAGCCUGCUGGGAUUUUGAUGCAUGACAUUUUUCUGCUUAACAAUGUCCACUUCACAAUCUACUCACAGUCUAAAGGUUUAGGGGGGAAAAACAUACAGAACAUUUGCGCCUCCUUGAGGCCACAUUGUGCUCUACCGCUAUUUUUUAGCGACAAAAUAGCCCACCGGAGUGGAAAAUAAAAUUCACCUCGUAGGUCACAAAACCUCUGCGCGGUAAUUGGAAUAAGUCUCCGUAUCCAUUUUUAAUGGCGCAAUUCCUUUGGAAACAAGAUGGACUCCUUCCUCUUUUAUGAGCUCAUCAAUGAUUCAUUACAUUGAGACUGAAAUGUAAUUGUAACAGACUGUAUUGAAUUAUUGAAACCACCGUCGGCAAGAAACUAACAGACUAUAAUGACCUUUAACGCUGCCGUCCCCCCCAUGGCAACUACAGGCAUCCCAUCACACCUGCAUCAAUAUUUAACUGUGCUGUACCUCGGAGUCGAUGCCGUUCCUGUGGGUUUGGUGCAGGAGAGAAG
ensembl:lncRNA